AAGAUUAGAGUAAACAUCUUUUUUUCUCUGGUGAUGAUCAUCUGGAGAGACUUUCCAUCAAUUGAAUUAUGAAGAAGGUCAGCAUGUUUUCAGCAUAAAGACUUCUUAGUAGAAAAUUAAUUACUUUCUUUGUAAAAUGCUUGCAAUUGAACCGACUUUCAGGUACAUGUCACGAUGAGAUGAAUAUUUUUCGCUGUGAUUUUCCUACUGGUUUUUAUGGACAGACGUUUACAGUAAUAACCAAUGAGUGCGAUCCAAACCCCUGCAAGAAUAGGGCAUCAUGCAUGGACCUCCAUUUUGACAAUAAAGUGAGUGAUUGACUGGUAGCUAAUGAUGAGGGUCUAAGCGCGUUUUUCAAGUAAAACAUGUUUUUGAUGCACAAAUGUCAUAUUCCUACAGAGCCCUUAAAAAUAGAGAAUCUGUCGCUUAGUCAAAUAAAAUACUUCCUAAAAUUAGAAGUCAAAAUUAAACUUAUUCUUAUUCGUUUUUGUUCUAUGCUUUACAUUUUCUAUGAACUUGAAAUUAAAAAAUCCAAUUAUAUUGAUAUCAGCGACUCUGAAUGGGCUAUCGUGGAGAAAUAUCAGUAAUAAAUAAUUUCAUGAUAAUAAAAGGCUUAACACGUGGUGACUGCAUUUCCUAGGAUCAGAUAAGAGCGUCAUUGAUAAAAUUAUAACUAUUGGCUGUGAUAUGAUAUGCCCAUUUUGUUUCAUGGUUCCCACUACGUGAUGAUGGUUAUUACACAACCUAUUUUAAAAUUGUACCACGUGCUCGAAGUCAUUUUUUCAAGGCUAUUUUUGUGAUUCCCUACGUUGUUCUUGAGAUUAGCCUUUUUUAUUUUCAUACCCUGCAUUAUGGGGUAACACUUCCCUUAUUACAUGUCCGAAUGUCAACAUUGGUCAAUGCCCCUUUUUCCGGAGCAAGCGACCUUCUUUUCCGCUUUUGGUAUCGAUUUUCCGUUUCAGUGUUCUUGUCCGGUAGGAUUUACAGGCAGAGGUUGUGAGACGGACAUCGAUGACUGUACAGAAGCCUUGUGCGCUCAAGCGUCUGCAAUGCCGGCUACAGCGGAGAACGCUACGACUUCAUCAUUGAUGCCUGUGCAGGUAAUGGCCAUCCUUGUCGGAACGGAGCCAGUUGCAAAGAUGGUGUCAACCAUAAUACACGUGUGUGUGUCCGCUAGGAUUCACGGGAAGGCACUGUGAGACUGACAUCGAUUCAAAAGCAAACAAAGAAGGUUUAAACACAUUCACUUACGAAAAUAGUGAAGCAAGUACCUAUCUUUUAUCUUAAGGUAUCCCUUGGAGAAUAAGCCUUAUUUCAAGACUACCUUUUGGAGAUUCUGUUUCAGUAUUGUAUCCUCACUUAUAAUUACUGGACUUUAGUUCCUUUAGCUGAAGCUUUCAAGCGCUCAAUGGCCACGGAAAGCUAAAGCGAUCAAUAUUAUGUUAUUGGCUGCAAUUUGCUCUAUUCUGGUCGUGAUCGCGGGCGCUGGGGAAGCUGUCUAUCUUAUCAAGAAAAGAAAGGCGUCUAAUGCCAGCACUAGGGAUGUAAGUACAU